CAGCGCCGCGGGAAUACAGAGGGUGCGAGCGUUAAUCGGAUUUACUGGGCGUAAAGCGUGCGUAGGCGGCUUUUUAAGUCGGAUGUGAAAUCCCUGAGCUUAACUUAGGAAUUGCAUUCGAUACUGGGAAGCUAGAGUAUGGGAGAGGAUGGUAGAAUUCCAGGUGUAGCGGUGAAAUGCGUAGAGAUCUGGAGGAAUACCGAUGGCGAAGGCAGCCAUCUGGCCUAAUACUGACGCUGAGGUACGAAAGCAUGGGGAGCAAACAGGAUUAGAUACCCCAGUAGUCCCUGUCUCUUAUACA
rnacentral:rRNA from 1 species